GCCACAUGAUGUGAUAUAGAUUGCAUUAGCACUCUGUGCAAAGAUGACCCAGUAUCUAUCACCCGACACUGAUGGCU